GGCAACUGCUGGUUGCUGUUAAGGUAGCAGCAUGCAAGGGUGCGAUAUGCAUGGGUGAUAUAGGUCUCCAGGAAAUUCUAUGGAAGUAAUUAAUUAAUUUGUUUGCAUGAAAAUAACGACCUUUUCCUACACAGAAGGUGGAGGCGUUUUCGGAAAUGUGUAGUGUACGUGUUUUGUAAGAGUGUCCGUUUAAUACACCUCCACAGCACUGGCUGUUUUAAAGGUGGGAUCACUUCAUUAUUCAACUUUUUCAGCUGAUCAGCUCUGCUGUCACCCCCAUGCUGUGAAAUGGUAGUAAAAUGAAAGCCAUAUAUAUUAAUAGCUGACUCUACAUGUGCACUUUUGAGGGAAUGGAGUGGCGUCCCAAGGGACUGAUGAAGAGAAUCCGUAAAGAGGAAAAAACAUAUACUUCCCGAAUUUUCCGCGAACUGCAGAUUUCAUUCACAUUGUUCUUUAAGAAAAGAUCGCAAAUAAUAACUGCAGAUCUGAAACAAUAGGCUACCUUAUGUGACCUAGACAAUUGGAAAACUCUAGAUGAUUGAAAGUGAAAAUAUCUGCCAUGCCAGUGUGAUUUUCCUGCAGACGGGAGGCGCAUGGCGGCUUGGUGGGUACUGCUGUGUCCUCACACCUCCAGGGUGGCUGCUUUGACUCCUGCCUCCGCUGUCUAACAUCCAUAGAUGUAGAUGCCUCUAGAAAACCAGGUCCAUCCCAGCCGGAAACUGCUUCCGCUCCUGCCGUCAGGGAAACGGCAUCACAGCUUAAGCGCAUGAACAGACAGACUCCGCAGCAGCGAACCCUCAGGCAGUAACUCAGUACUCAGCAGCCGAUCAGAGCACAUUUCCCUUUUCCCCUUGUAUUUUUUUUUACUUUUCUUUGAAUUAUUAGUAUUACUUUCAUAUAAGGGAAACUUGUUUCAUUGCCUGCAUCUACUGCAAUAUGGUGUACUGUCGUGCAUUUGAUAAACUUUGAUUUGA